rfam:Parcubacteria bacterium GW2011_GWD2_38_11 TS70_C0011, whole genome shotgun sequence.
GGAGAGAUGGCCGAGUGGUUGAAGGCGCACGCUUGGAAAGCGUGUUAGGGGCAACUCUACGCAGGUUCGAAUCCUGUUCUCUCCG